rnacentral:rRNA from 1 species
GUAAAAAGUAGAAUAAUAGAUUUGAAAUAUUUAUUAUAUAGAUUUAAAGAGAUAAUCAUGGAGUAUAAUAAUUAAAUUUAAUAAAUUUAAUAUAACUAUUAAUAGAAUUAGGUUACUAAUAAAUUAAUAACAAUUAAUUUUAAAACCUAAAGGUAAACCUUUAUAUUAAUAAUGUUAUUUUUUAUUAUUUUUAUAAUAAGAAUAAUUAUUAAUAAUAAUAAACUAAGUGAACUGAAACAUCUAAGUAACUUAAGGAUAAGAAAUCAACAGAGAUAUUAUGAGUAUUGGUGAGAGAAAAUAAUAAAGGUCUAAUAAGUAUUAUGUGAAAAAAAUGUAAGAAAAUAGGAUAACAAAUUCUAAGACUAAAUACUAUUAAUAAGUAUAGUAAGUACCGUAAGGGAAAGUAUGAAAAUGAUUAUUUUAUAAGCAAUCAUGAAUAUAUUAUAUUAUAUUAAUGAUGUACCUUUUGUAUAAUGGGUCAGCAAGUAAUUAAUAUUAGUAAAACAAUAAGUUAUAAAUAAAUAGAAUAAUAUAUAUAUAUAAAAAAAUAUAUUAAAAUAUUUAAUUAAUAUUAAUUGACCCGAAAGCAAACGAUCUAACUAUGAUAAGAUGGAUAAACGAUCGAACAGGUUGAUGUUGCAAUAUCAUCUGAUUAAUUGUGGUUAGUAGUGAAAGACAAAUCUGGUUUGCAGAUAGCUGGUUUUCUAUGAAAUAUAUGUAAGUAUAGCCUUUAUAAAUAAUAAUUAUUAUAUAAUAUUAUAUUAAUAUUAUAUAAAGAAUGGUACAGCAAUUAAUAUAUAUUAGGGAACUAUUAAAGUUUUAUUAAUAAUAUUAAAUCUCGAAAUAUUUAAUUAUAUAUAAUAAAGAGUCAGAUUAUGUGCGAUAAGGUAAAUAAUCUAAAGGGAAACAGCCCAGAUUAAGAUAUAAAGUUCCUAAUAAAUAAUAAGUGAAAUAAAUAUUAAAAUAUUAUAAUAUAAUCAGUUAAUGGGUUUGACAAUAACCAUUUUUUAAUGAACAUGUAACAAUGCACUGAUUUAUAAUAAAUAAAAAAAAAUAAUAUUUAAAAUCAAAUAUAUAUAUAUUUGUUAAUAGAUAAUAUACGGAUCUUAAUAAUAAGAAUUAUUUAAUUCCUAAUAUGGAAUAUUAUAUUUUUAUAAUAAAAAUAUAAAUACUGAAUAUCUAAAUAUUAUUAUUACUUUUUUUUUAAUAAUAAUAAUAUGGUAAUAGAACAUUUAAUGAUAAUAUAUAUUAGUUAUUAAUUAAUAUAUGUAUUAAUUAAAUAGAGAAUGCUGACAUGAGUAACGAAAAAAAGGUAUAAACCUUUUCACCUAAAACAUAAGGUUUAACUAUAAAAGUACGGCCCCUAAUUAAAUUAAUAAAAAUAUAAAUAUAUUUAAGAUGGGAUAAUCUAUAUUAAUAAAAAUUUAUCUUAAAAUAUAUAUAUUAUUAAUAAUUAUAUUAAUUAAUUAAUAAUAUAUAUAAUUAUAUUAUAUAUUAUAUAUUUUUUAUAUAAUAUAAACUAAUAAAGAUCAGGAAAUAAUUAAUGUAUACCGUAAUGUAGACCGACUCAGGUAUGUAAGUAGAGAAUAUGAAGGUGAAUUAGAUAAUUAAAGGGAAGGAACUCGGCAAAGAUAGCUCAUAAGUUAGUCAAUAAAGAGUAAUAAGAACAAAGUUGUACAACUGUUUACUAAAAACACCGCACUUUGCAGAAACGAUAAGUUUAAGUAUAAGGUGUGAACUCUGCUCCAUGCUUAAUAUAUAAAUAAAAUUAUUUAACGAUAAUUUAAUUAAAUUUAGGUAAAUAGCAGCCUUAUUAUGAGGGUUAUAAUGUAGCGAAAUUCCUUGGCCUAUAAUUGAGGUCCCGCAUGAAUGACGUAAUGAUACAACAACUGUCUCCCCUUUAAGCUAAGUGAAAUUGAAAUCGUAGUGAAGAUGCUAUGUACCUUCAGCAAGACGGAAAGACCCUAUGCAGCUUUACUGUAAUUAGAUAGAUCGAAUUAUUGUUUAUUAUAUUCAGCAUAUUAAGUAAUCCUAUUAUUAGGUAAUCGUUUAGAUAUUAAUGAGAUACUUAUUAUAAUAUAAUGAUAAUUCUAAUCUUAUAAAUAAUUAUUAUUAUUAUUAUUAAUAAUAAUAAUAUGCUUUCAAGCAUAGUGAUAAAACAUAUUUAUAUGAUAAUCACUUUACUUAAUAGAUAUAAUUCUUAAGUAAUAUAUAAUAUAUAUUUUAUAUAUAUUAUAUAUAAUAUAAGAGACAAUCUCUAAUUGGUAGUUUUGAUGGGGCGUCAUUAUCAGCAAAAGUAUCUGAAUAAGUCCAUAAAUAAAUAUAUAAAAUUAUUGAAUAAAAAAAAAAUAAUAUAUAUUAUAUAUAUUAAUUAUAAAUUGAAAUAUGUUUAUAUAAAUUUAUAUUUAUUGAAUAUAUUUUAGUAAUAGAUAAAAAUAUGUACAGUAAAAUUGUAAGGAAAACAAUAAUAACUUUCUCCUCUCUCGGUGGGGGUUCACACCUAUUUUUAAUAGGUGUGAACCCCUCUUCGGGGUUCCGGUUCCCUUUCGGGUCCCGGAACUUAAAUAAAAAUGGAAAGAAUUAAAUUAAUAUAAUGGUAUAACUGUGCGAUAAUUGUAACACAAACGAGUGAAACAAGUACGUAAGUAUGGCAUAAUGAACAAAUAACACUGAUUGUAAAGGUUAUUGAUAACGAAUAAAAGUUACGCUAGGGAUAACAGGGUAAUAUAGCGAAAGAGUAGAUAUUGUAAGCUAUGUUUGCCACCUCGAUGUCGACUCAACAUUUCCUCUUGGUUGUAAAAGCUAAGAAGGGUUUGACUGUUCGUCAAUUAAAAUGUUACGUGAGUUGGGUUAAAUACGAUGUGAAUCAGUAUGGUUCCUAUCUGCUGAAGGAAAUAUUAUCAAAUUAAAUCUCAUUAUUAGUACGCAAGGACCAUAAUGAAUCAACCCAUGGUGUAUCUAUUGAUAAUAAUAUAAUAUAUUUAAUAAAAAUAAUACUUUAUUAAUAUAUUAUCUAUAUUAGUUUAUAUUUUAAUUAUAUAUUAUCAUAGUAGAUAAGCUAAGUUGAUAAUAAAUAAAUAUUGAAUACAUAUUAAAUAUGAAGUUGUUUUAAUAAGAUAAUUAAUCUGAUAAUUUUAUACUAAAAUUAAUAAUUAUAGGUUUUAUAUAUUAUUUAUAAAUAAAUAUAUUAUAAUAAUAAUAAUUAUUAUUAUUAAUAAAAAAUAUUAAUUAUAAUAUUAAUAAAAUACUAAUUUAUCAGUUAUCUAUAUAAUAUCUAAUCUAUUAUUCUAUAUACU